AUGGUGCUGCUGACGAUGAUCGCCUGCCUGUGUGGCUGACGGGCUUCCGCUGGCCACCUCGAUGCAGGAGGACAAGCAGUCAGGCCGGGACCUUCAACAGUAUCAGAGUCAGGCUAAGCAACUCUUUUGAAAGCUGAAUGAGCAGUCUCCUACCAGAUAUACCUUGGAAACAGGAGCCAUGACUUUUCACUACAAUAAUGAGCAGGAGGUGUGUUACUUGGUUUUGUGUGAAGCCGCCUUCCCUAAGAAGUUGGCCUUUGCCUACCUAGAAGACUUGCACUCAGAAUCUGAUGAAUAACAUGGGAAGAAGGUGCCCACUGUGUCUAGGCCCUAUUCCUUCAUUGAGUUUGAUACCUUCAUUCAGAAAACCAAGAAACUCUACAUUGAUAGCUGUGCUCAGAGAAAUCUAGGCUCCAUCAACACCGAAUUGCAAGAUCAUGGUGGCCAAUAUUGACAAAGUCUUACAGCGUGGAGAAGCACUCUCAGCAUUGCAUUCAAAGGCUAACAAUUUGUCCCAUCUAUCUAAGAAGUACCACCAGGAUGCGAAAUACCUGAACAUGUGUUCCACUUAAGGCCAAACUUGCAGCAGUAGUUGUGUUUUUCAUCGUGCUGAUAGCGUAUGUGUGGUUUUGGUGGCUGUGA
rnacentral:lncRNA from 1 species